UACGGGGGGAGCAAGCGUUGUUCGGAUUUACUGGGCGUAAAGGGCGCGUAGGCGGCGCAACAAGUCACUUGUGAAAUCUCCGGGCUUAACCCGGAGCGGCCAAGUGAUACUGUCGUGCUAGAGUGCGGAAGGGGCUACUGGAAUUCUCGGUGUAGCGGUGAAAUGCGUAGAGAUCGGGAAGAACAUCAGUGGCGAAGGCGGUCUGCUGGGCCGUUGCUGACGCUGAGGCGCGACAGCGGUGGGGAGCAAACAGG
rnacentral:rRNA from 1 species